CAUGUCAUAUUAAAUAUUUAUUUUCUGCAGACUGACUUCAGAGUAAUUCUUGAGCCAGGAGGGGAGAGGUUAGUGUUCAAAUUGCUGAGAUCUUAGGUCAAAAAGCUACAGAAAAGAAAUCACUUUGAAAAACACAAUGACUUAGAGGCAGUCACCCCUUGCCAGCAAUUCCAAGAGCUGAGGCUUCAUGCCUCAGGACAUGGUGACCAGUUGAAUAAACCAGAGAUUGAGGCAGUGAAGGUUUUUACAGGGGAAGAAACAAGCCUUGGGUGUAUGGGAGCAGGAAAGGAGGUGACAGACUGGAGAAAUGAUAAAGGCCAUUUUGGAAGCCCACAGGGAAGUGGUCUUGGGAAACCUGAAGACAGUGGGAUAUUCAGAAGGCCAAGGGGAUCCAGCUUAUCCUGUUGGGCAAGGUGCUGGGAGUGAAGGCAAGAACUACCGAAGCCACGGAUCAGCUGAGUUACCCGG
rnacentral:antisense_RNA from 1 species